AAUCAACGCUGGCGGCGUGCCUCAGACAUGCAAGUCGAACGAUUAAAGCUCUCUUCGGAGAGUGUAUAGAGUGGCGCACGGGUGAGUAACACGUAAGUAAUCUACCUUUGAGUGGGGAAUAACAAUCGGAAACGAUUGCUAAUACCGCAUAAUGCAGCGGCAUCGCGAGAUGACAGUUGUUAAAGGAGCAAUCCGCUUAAAGAGGAGCUUGCGGCAGAUUAGCUAGUUGGUAAGGUAAUGGCUUACCAAGGCUACGAUCUGUAACCGGUCUAAGAGGACGGUCGGUCACACUGACACUGAAUAACGGGUCAGACUCCUACGGGAGGCAGCAGUCGGGAAUUUUGGGCAAUGGGCGAAAGCCUGACCCAGCAACGCCGCGUGAAGGAUGAAGUAUUUCGGUAUGUAAACUUCGAAAGAAUAGGAAGAAUCAAUGACGGUACUAUUUAUAAGGUCCGGCUAACUACGUGCCAGCCGCCGCCGU
rnacentral:rRNA from 1 species